CGCUACUCUGUGUGGUUGUUAGACACGACUUCUUGUUGUUUUUCCUUAGUAUUUGGUUAUUCUUUCAGCCCAAGGUACAGCCAAGUCCUAGCUGACUAACGCUAGCAAUCAGGGUUUAUCAGCAAUCAGCAUCCACCCAAUUAAAACUAGACAGCUGAAGAAGGUCUGAGUGACCGUCGUUUGACCCCGCCUCCGCCUCCGCGGCUCUGAACGGUCGUCGUACGGGUGCAGCUGCUCUACUGUUCCCCGCUGCCGCUGUCUGCUGGUGUUCCCGCCACUGGUCCUCCCGCUGCCUGCGAUGGCCCUCCGCCGGUGCGUCCGGCUAGCGUUGCCGCCCUUGGGCGCCGUCCGCUCCCUGAGUGCCUCAGCCGGCCGGCCGUCCCGCCGCUCUGCCGGCCGACUGCUCAAGUACAGCCUCGUCGGAGCGACGCUAGGCGGCGCUGUGGUGCCCGCCGUUUACUAUGCGUGUCAGGACGACAUCGGGCGCCGGCGUCUGCGAGUCACAUAUGAGGGCGUGGGCCGCUUCGUCCGCUCCGUCCGUAUCGGUGCCACCAUCUCGCUCGACUACUGGUGGUCGACUCGCGGGAUGGACGAAACCUCCACGGAGUAUGAGACAGCAAUGAGCGGGUGCCACCAGCGUGCCGCCGACCGCAUCCUGGUCGGGUGCCUGAAAAACGGCGGCCUCUACGUCAAGCUGGGCCAGGGGCUCGUCUCGAUGAACCACAUCCUGCCCAAGGAAUACCUCAACACGCUGAAGGUGCUGCAGGACCGGUGUCUGAACCGGCGGGCCGACGAGGUGGGCCGCCUGUUCCUGGAGGAUUUCGGCCGCUCCCACCUGGAUAUGUUCGCAGAGUUUGACCCAGAGCCGGUGGCGGCCGCCAGUCUGGCGCAGGUCUUCAAGGCCACCACUCACAGCGGGGAGAAGGUGGCGGUAAAGGUGCAGUACAUCGACCUCCAGGACCGGUUUCACGGCGACAUCAGCACCAUAGAGAUGCUCCUGGAGCUCAUAUCCUGGAUGCACCCCAAGUUCACGCUCAAGUGGGUGAUGAAGGACCUGAAGAAGACUCUGGCAGAGGAGCUCGACUUCAUCCACGAGGGGAAGAAUGCGGAGCGCUGCGCCUCUGACCUCGCGCACUUCAGCUUCGUGCACGUGCCGAAGGUGCACUGGGACAAAACGUCGCUGCGAGUGCUGACGGCUGAGUUCAUAGACGGCGUCAAGAUCAGCGACCUCGAGGGUAUUGAGCAGCUCGGCCUGGACGUAGCAGACGUGGACACAAAGCUGAUCCGAUCCUUCGCCGAACAGAUCUUCCACUCGGGCUUCGUGCACGCCGACCCGCACCCAGGGAAUAUCCUGGUGCGUCGCGGCGCCGACGGCCGGGCGCAGCUGGUCCUGCUCGACCACGGCCUCUACCAGCGGCUCCCGGAGACCGUCCGCACCGCACUGGCCAACCUCUGGAAGGCCAUCGUGCUCAACGAUCACCCCUCGAUGGCGCGCUUCGCCGGCCAGCUCGGUGUCACCGACUACCGUCUGCUGGCGAUCGCGCUGGUGCAGCGCCUCGUACCGCCGCCGCCGGCUGACCGAGCCGACCCGGUCGACUACUGGGCGCUGUUUUUCGACGCGCGCGGUCCACGGAUGACGCGGGUGAAGCUGACGCCGGAGCUGACCGAAUGGGUGACCGAGCUGCACUACCGGCUGGUGGAGACGCUGCGCGCGCUGCCGCCGCCGCUGGCGCUGGUGUUUCGGUCAGUGGAGUGACGGUCUGGGGCCGUGUGUGCCGUCAGACCACUGUCUGCUCUGUGAGAUGCUGCUGCAGCGGCCGCUGCCGCGGCGCGGCGGCGCCGUGCGCGCCCUCCGGCACGCCGUCACCGGCGACCAGGAGUACAUGCGCCGCCAGGCGGCCGAGCGGUUCGACCAGAUCACGGACGCGCUGCGCCAGCUGCCGCGCUCGGUGCUCCUGGUCAUCAGGAACAUGAACCUGAUCCGCGCCAUCACUGCUGAGCACGGCUCGCACGUGGACCGGUACCGGCUGAUGGCCCGCAGCGCCACACAGGGCGCCUUCCGUGUCGAGGGCGCCGGCGUCACCGCCCGCCUGGCCGGCUACUGGCAGCGCUUCGUCUUCGACUGGAGACUCUUCGUGGACUCUGUGAAGAUGUGGGCGAUGCGGCGCACCAUCUGGCUGCUGACACUACUCGGCAGGGCGCCGCCGGAGAUGGCGCGGAUUGCCGACCAGUUCUGAUCGGCUGCGGAGUGCCGGCGGUCAGUGCCGCGCCGGCGCCGUGGUGCACACCCCCGAUACGGGUUCAGCAGAGACUCGCCAGAGGAGCAGCUGUUCCUCUCCCGCUCUGCGGUCGAGGUCAGUCCUGGGUCCUUUCCUAUGACCUGAGGUCAGUCCUGGCCCUCUCCUGGGACCUGAGGUCAGCCCUGGGUCCUUUCCUGUGUCCUGAGGUCAGUCCUGGCCCUAUCCUGUGACCUGAGGUCAGUCCUGGUCAUAUCCUGUGACCCAAGGUUCGUUACGACUUGCCCCGUGACCUGAGGUUUGCCCUGGUUUUGCCCGUGACCUGAGGGCAGUCCCAGCCCUGUCCUGUGACCCGAGGACAGUCCCGACUGUACCGUAACCUGAGGUAACCUGAGGUCAGCUCUUGUCCUGUCCCGUUGCCUGAGGUCGUUCAAGGCCUUGAUCCUUUGACUCAAGGUCAGUCCUGUAACCGGAGGACUUUUCUCCGUGACCGGAGAGUAUGGCGUUGUCCGGUGACCCAGGGGCAGUAUGAUGCUGUUCUGUCGGUCCUGGUGACUAAGGUCAGUCUGAGCGCUCUGUGACAGGAUCAGAGGUCAGUCUCUGUGCAAUAUCGCGGCAACUGAGACCGUUCCGUGUGUUCAAAGACUCGAACACCUUGUUCAGAUCAGGUCAGUGGCCCGCCGCGGAUAUGGCCUCUUCUACCUGCAGCCCCGUGGCUGUACCAAUCGAGGUUCCUGCCUGGCAGUAUUGUUGAUUUAGUUGUUAAGAUGAUAUGAUGGUGAUUGAUCGUCCAUUUUUAGAUUUAUUGUGCAGGCUGCGUUGCCAUGUCUUUUGACUGGAAUAUAUACCGCGACUUUUUA
rnacentral:misc_RNA from 1 species